UAACUAUUACUUCCGUCCCAAAAAUCUUGUCUUAGAUUUAUCUAGAUACAAAUGUAUCUAACACUAAAACAUGUCUAGAUAUAUCCAUAUCUAGACAAAUUUAGGACAAGCUUUUUGCUAUGGAGGGAGUACUAA
rfam:Triticum aestivum genome assembly, contig: Triticum_aestivum_CS42_TGACv1_scaffold_145945_2BS